GGCCUAACACAUGCAAGUCGAGCGGUAGAGAGAAGCUUGCUUCUCUACAGAGCGGCGGACGGGUGAGUAAUGCCUAGGAAUCUGCCUGGUAGUGGGGGAUAACGUUCGGAAACGGACGCUAAUACCGCAUACGUCCUACGGGAGAAAGCAGGGGACCUUCGGGCCUUGCGCUAUCAGAUGAGCCUAGGUCGGAUUAGCUAGUUGGUGAGGUAAUGGCUCACCAAGGCGACGAUCCGUAACUGGUCUGAGAGGAUGAUCAGUCACACUGGAACUGAGACACGGUCCAGACUCCUACGGGAGGCAGCAGUGGGGAAUAUUGGACAAUGGGCGAAAGCCUGAUCCAGCCAUGCCGCGUGUGUGAAGAAGGUCUUCGGAUUGUAAAGCACUUUAAGUUGGGAGGAAGGGUUGUAGAUUAAUACUCUGCAAUUUUGACGUUACCGACAGAAUAAGCACCGGCUAACUCUGUGCCAGCAGCCGCGGUAAUACAGAGGGUGCAAGCGUUAAUCGGAAUUACUGGGCGUAAAGCGCGCGUAGGUGGUUUGUUAAGUUGGAUGUGAAAUCCCCGGGCUCAACCUGGGGACUGCAUUCAAAACUGACUGACUAGAGUAUGGUAGAGGGUGGUGGAAUUUCCUGUGUAGCGGUGAAAUGCGUAGAUAUAGGAAGGAACACCAGUGGCGGAGGCGACCACCUGGACUAAUACUGACACUGAGGUGCGAAAGCGUGGGGAGCAAACAGGAUUAGAUACCCUGGUAGUCC
rnacentral:rRNA from 1 species